ensembl:snRNA U6 U6 spliceosomal RNA
GCUUGUUUCACCAGCCUAUAUACUGAAAUUAAAUGAAAUAGAAAAGAUCAAUAUGAUCUCUAAGCAAGGAUGACAUGCAAACUUGUAAAGUACUGCAUAAUUUU